rnacentral:rRNA from 1 species
UACGGGAGGCAGCAGUGGGGAAUAUUGCACAAUGGGCGCAAGCCUGAUGCAGCCAUGCCGCGUGUAUGAAGAGGGCCUUCGGGUUGUAAAGUACUUUCAGUCGUGAGGAAGGUGUUAAGGUUAAUAACCUUAGCAAUUGACGUUAGCGACAGAAGAAGCACCGGCUAACUCCGUGCCAGCAGCCGCGGUAAUACGGAGGGUGCGAGCGUUAAUCGGAAUUACUGGGCGUAAAGGGCACGCAGGCGGUUAAUUAAGUUGGAUGUGAAAUCCCCGGGCUUAACCUGGGAAUGGCAUUCAAGACUGGUUAGCUAGAGUCUUGUAGAGGGGGUAGAAUUCCAUGUGUAGCGGUGAAAUGCGUAGAGAUGUGGAGGAAUACCGGUGGCGAAGGCGGCCCCUGGACAAAGACUGACGCUCAUGUGCGAAAGCGUGGGGAGCAAACAGGGAUUAGAUACC